ensembl:lncRNA
CUGCAACUUGAAUUUUAAUUAUGAGUAUGUAUUUAUAUCAUCUGUUUUUUACAACGUCCCCCAUUGUAUACAACUGCAGAGCUUUAAUGCAAACAUCUUUUAAAUUUGAACUGAUGAUGCCAAUCAUUGGAUCUUACUUUUGGUCUUCAUUCUUUCAUUUAUAUACAUCAUGAUAACACUGCUGCACAUGCAAUUAACUGUGAUGCGUUUCACUUUGAGGUGCACAUGAUUACACAAAGCAUCCAUCACAUAAAGACUCUGCACAUUAUUUUAUUCAGUUGCUAACCCACAGACAGCAGGAGGGAUGGAUAAAUGAGAAGUGCAGAUGAAAUUGCCCCUGCUGCCCUGUCUGUGGUACACCUCCUCUGAUGUAUUUGCAAUGGCCGACCCUUGCCUGCUGCUGGGAGAGGCCGGUUUAUUCAAUAACCAGCAUAAUGUGUUCUCAGUGUUGUGUGUUGGUACACAGACGGGUGAAUCUCCUCCUUUCCAUGUGCACACAGCCCUCCCUCCCUCUCUCCCUCCCUCGCUCACGUGCUCUCACCCCCUGCAAACGUACGGAGAACACGCAGUCUCUAACCGUGCCGGAGCACUGGCUGGAUUUGCCAUAGGAAAGAAUACCUUGACUUCAAUGGAGGAAUGACUUAGAGACGCUUGUGUUCCGUUGUCAACUUCUGAGUUUUUCCAACUUUCUUUUUAACGGAUACAAACAGCAAGAAAGUGACACUUCACUCUCCCAGGAAAUGGCUCAGCCGGGAGGCAGCCAGGACAUGUUGGCGGUCCCGCCGAAGCAGCUCCACCACGGGGACCAUGUGGGUUUGAACGAGGAUCUGGUGCGCAUCCUGAGAGAGAACCUGCUGCAGCAGGACCGUCCCUGCCACCCCAGGACCCGGAGAUCCCCGUCUUCAAUAUCCCCCAGGUUGUCUCCGACCACCCUGUCCCCGCGCAACUCUCCCAGGCUGCUCCGACGCAUGCUGCUUAAUAACAACAUCCACAAGCAGCGGCGCUUCACUGUGGCACACACCUGCUUUGACGUGGACAAUGGCACGUCGUCAGGACGGAGUCCCCUGGAUCCCAUGACGAGUCCGGGUUCGGGCCUGAUCCUUCAGGCUAACUUUGUGCACAGCCAGCGGAGGGAAUCCUUCCUCUACCGCUCCGACAGCGACUAUGACCUGUCGCCGAAGUCGAUGUCGCGAAACUCCUCCAUCGCCAGUGACAUUCAUGGAGAUGACCUCAUCGUCACGCCGUUUGCACAGGUGCUGGCUAGUUUGAGGACGGUACGGAAUAACUUUGCAGCGUUAACCAACCUCCACUUUGCAAUCGAGGCCUACCAGAAACUGGCCACCGAGACCCUGGAGGAGCUGGACUGGUGCCUGGACCAGCUGGAGACCCUGCAGACCCGACACUCCGUCAGCGAGAUGGCCUCCAACAAGUUCAAGCGGAUGUUGAACAGGGAGUUAACGCACCUGUCUGAGAUGAGCAGAUCUGGUAACCAGGUCUCAGAGUUCAUCUCCAACACAUUUUUAGACAAACAGCACGAUGUGGAAAUGCCCUCCCCGCAGACGCAGAAGGAGAAGGAGAAGAAGAAAAAGCCCAUGUGUCAGAUCAGCGGAGUGAAAAAACUCAUGCACAGCACCAGCCUCACCAAUUCCAACAUCCCUCGCUUCGGGGUCAAGACGGAUACGGAAGACUCCUUAGCCAAGGAACUGGAGGACAUAAACAAAUGGGGCCUUAAUGUUUUUAAAGUCACAGAGUUUUCAGGCAACAGGCCUUUAACGGUGAUGAUGCACACUAUAUUUCAGGUGAGACCGAUCACCUUUAUUUACUUUGCUCAUAAAUGUCUUGUGGUGCACAAUAAUGUCUGCUCUCACUCACCGUACAUCCACAUGUUGUUCUUUCAGGCGGUUUUCACAGACCUUGAAAUUCUCGCUGCCAUUUUCGCCAGUGCUAUUCAUGAUGUGGACCACCCGGGUGUCUCCAACCAGUUCCUUAUUAACACCAACUCGGAGUUGGCCCUCAUGUACAACGACUCGUCGGUGCUGGAAAACCAUCAUCUGGCGGUGGGCUUCAAACUCCUGCAGGAGGAGAACUGUGACAUCUUCCAGAACCUGACCAAAAAACAGAGACAGUCGCUGCGCAAGAUGGUCAUCGACAUCGUCUUGGCGACUGAUAUGUCCAAACACAUGAACCUGCUGGCUGAUCUGAAGACCAUGGUCGAGACCAAGAAGGUCACCAGUUCUGGAGUCUUGCUCUUGGAUAACUACUCAGACAGGAUACAAGUGCUUCAGAACAUGGUUCACUGUGCGGAUCUCAGUAACCCCACCAAACCCCUGGAGCUGUACAAACAGUGGACGGACCGCAUCAUGGAGGAGUUCUUCAGUCAGGGCGACCGAGAGAGAGAGCGAGGGAUGGAGAUCAGCCCCAUGUGUGACAAACACAACGCCUCUGUAGAGAAGUCUCAGGUGGGCUUCAUUGACUACAUCGUGCACCCGCUGUGGGAGACGUGGGCCGACCUCGUACACCCGGACGCCCAGGACAUCCUGGACACGUUAGAGGACAACAGAGAGUGGUACCAGAGCACCAUCCCACAGAGCCCAUCGCCCGCUCCCGACCAGUCCGAGGAGGGCAGCCGCUCCACUGGAGCAGAUAAGUUCCAGUUUGAACUGACGCUGGAGGAGGACGGAGAAUCAGACACGGAGAAAGACAGCGGCAGCCAGGAGGAGGAUGACAACAGCUGUAGUGAUUCCAAAACUCUGAUCACGCAGGACUCGGAAUCCACCGAGAUUCCAGAAGCGGAGGAGGGAAUUUCAGAGAUUUCCAGGGACCCCAGCAUGGUGGAGGAGGAGGAGGAAGAUGAGGAAGAUGAGGAGGAGCAGCCAGGAGACACGUAG